rnacentral:rRNA from 1 species
CGCGUGGAUAAUCUGCCCAAUGGACCGGGAUAACAUUCGAAGGGUGCUAUACGAUAAGACCACGGAGUCUAUGGAUUCUGCGGUAAAAGGUGGGGACCUUCGGGCCUACCGGCAUUGGAUGAGUCCGCGUACCAUUAGCUAGUUGGUAGGGUAAUGGCCUACCAAGGCGACGAUGGUUAGCUGGUCUGAGAGGAUGAUCAGCCACACUGGAACUGAGACACGGUCCAGACUCCUACGGGAGGCAGCAGUGGGGGAAUUUUGCGCAAUGGGGGAAACCCUGACGCAGCAACGCCGCGUGAGUGAUGAAGGCCUUCGGGUCGUAAAGCUCUGUCAGAGGGGAAGAAAUGCAGUGGUGCUAAUACCAUCAUUGUUUGACGGUACCCUCAAAGGAAGCACCGGCUAACUCCGUGCCAGCAGCCGCGGUAA